UGCAGUCGAGCGAGAAACUAGAUUUCGGUUUAGUGGAAAGCGGCGAACGGGUGAGUAACGCGUGGGAAUUUACCUAGGAGUGGGGAAUAACUAUUGGAAACGAUAGCUAAUACCGCAUACGCCCUAAGGGGGAAAGGCUUCGGCCGCUCUAUGAGAAGCCCGCGUCCGAUUAGUUUGUUGGUAGGGUAAUGGCCUACCAAGACUACGAUCGGUAGCUGGUCUGAGAGGACGAUCAGCCACACUGGGACUGAGACACGGCCCAGACUCCUACGGGAGGCAGCAGUGGGGAAUAUUGGACAAUGGGCGAAAGCCUGAUCCAGCUAUGCCGCGUGAGUGAAGAAGGCCUUAGGGUUGUAAAGCUCUUUCGGCAGGGAAGAUAAUGACGGUACCUGCAAAGGAAGCCCCGGCUAACUCCGUGCCAGCAGCCGCGGUAAUACGGAGGGGGCUAGCGUUGCUCGGAAUUACUGGGCGUAAAGCGAGCGUAGGCGGUUAAUCAAGUUGGGGGUGAAAGCCCGGAGCUCAACUCCGGAAAUGCCUUCAAAACUAGUUAACUAGAGGCCAGGAGAGGAGAGUGGAAUUCCCAGUGUAGAGGUGAAAUUCGUAGAUAUUGGGAAGAACACCGGUGGCGAAGGCGGCUCUCUGGACUGGUUCUGACGCUAAGGCUCGAAAGCGUGGGUAGCAAACAGGAUUAGAUACCC
rnacentral:rRNA from 1 species